rnacentral:lncRNA from 1 species
CAGGCAUGAGCCACUGUGCCCGGCCCUCAAUCACUUCUGUAAAGGUCCUAUCUCCAAAUACAGUCAUAUUCUGAGGUACUAGGGGGUUACAGAUUCAUGUGAAUUGAGAGGGCAGGAGGACACAAUUCAGCCCAUAACAUAAGCUCCUUGCAAUUUCAUAUGAAUUGAAGAUCAGAUUUUCCAUUUCUGCAAAAAAGGCUUUUGAAAUUUUGUUAGAAGUUGCCUUGAAUCUGUAGAUGGCUGUGGGUAGUACUGAUAUUAAUUCUUUCCAUUCGUUAACACAAGAUGUCUUUCCAUUUAUUUAGGCCUUUCUUUAUUUAGGACUUUCAGGAAUGUUUUGUAAUUUUCAGUGUACAAGUCUUUCACUCCUUGGUUAAAUUUAUUCCCAGAUAUUUCAUGCUUUUAGAUGAUAGUGUACAUGGAAUUGCUUUUAAAAUUUCCUUUUCUGAUUGUUCAAUACUGGUAUAUAGAAACAUAACUAGUUUUUGUGUGUUGAUCUUGUACCCUGAAAUUUUGCUGAAUCAUUUAUUUGCUCUAGGAGUUGCCUUACAUUCUUUGGGAUUUUCUGUGUAUAAGAUCAUAUUGUCUGUGAAUAUAGUUUUACUUCCUUUUCAGUUUGAAUGCCUUUUAUUUCUUUUUCUUGUCUAAUUGCUCUGGCUAGAACUUCCUAGUACAGGCCUGGUGCAGUGGCUCGCACCUGUAAUCCCAACACUUUGGGAGGCAGAGGCAGGUGGAUCACUUGAGCCCAGGGGUUUGAGACAAGCCUGAGCAACAUAGCAAAACCCUGUCUCUAUAAAAACAAAAAUUAACCCAGGUGUGGUGGCACUUGCCUGUGGUCUCAGCUUCAGGAGGCUGAGAUGAGAGGGUCGCUUCAGCCCAGGAGGUCAAGGCUGCAGUGAGCUAUGAUGGUACAACUGUACUCCAGCCUGUAUAACAGAGUGAGACCCUGGCAAACAACAACAACAACAACAAAAAGAUAGAAACUUCCAAUACAAUGUUGAAUAGCACUGGUGAAAGCAGGCAUUUUUGACUUGUUUGUGAAAUUAUGGGAAAAACUUUCAGUCUAUUACCAUUGAGUAUGAUGUUAGCUGUGGGCUUUUCAUAAGUGCCUUUAUUAUGCUGAAGAAUCUUCCCUCUAUUCCUAGUUUUCUAAGAAUUGUUAAAUAAAGUUCUGUUUUUAAUUCUGAGAGUUUUUAUCAUGAAAAAGUGUUGGCUUUUGUAAAUGCCUUUUCUGUACCGAUUAACAUAAUCAUUCUACUAAUGUGAUGUGUUACAUUAAUUUGAUUUUCUUAUGUUGAACAACUUUUGCAUUCCUGUUACAAAUUCCACUUGGUCAUGAUAUAUAAUGUGCUGUAUUUGGUUUGCUAGUGUUUUGUUGAAGAUGUUUGUAUUGAUAUUCAUAAGCGAUAUUGAUUUUUAUUUUUUUCUUUUUUAUGUCUUAAUAUACCUUUGUUAUAGGGUAAUGCUGGCAUCUGAAUAAGUUAGGAAGUAUUCCCUCCUCUUUGAAUUUUUUUGGAAGUGUUUGAGAAAGAUUGAUACUAAUUUUUCUUUAAAUCUUUAGAAGACUUCACCAGUGAAUCCAUCUGGUUCUAGGCUUUUCUUUGUUGAGAAGUUUUGAUUAAAGGAUGUUACUUGUUAUAUGUCUGGCAUUUACAGCUAUACAUUUCCCUCUGAGUACUGCCUUUAUUGCAUCCUAUAAGUUUUG